rnacentral:lncRNA from 1 species
CCGGAGCUAUUGAGGGUGAGAGAUGAGUAGGAGGCGGUGAAGGAGAUAAUGGAGGUGUGUGUGUGAGCUACAGGGCAAAAAGUUUGGUUUUGGCGGGCGGGAGAGAGGUGCCUUUUGGCGAAUGGUUGGGUAGUCAGUACUCCUUUUUCACGAUUCACUGCCAACUCUGCGCUGGCCUGGAAUGCCUUGCCUGCCCUUUUUUCUUUUACUUCCUUCCGUCUUUUGUGUUGGAAAGAUGAGUAAAU